GCGAUCAUACCAGCCUUAAUGCACCGGAUUCCAUCAGAACUCCGAAGUUUAGCGUGCUUGGGCGAGAGCAGCACUAGGAUGGGUGACCUCCUAAGAAGUCCUUGUGUUGCACCU
rnacentral:rRNA from 1 species